AACACUGUUAACCUGCGGUACCUGCGGAGGGAUCAUUAAAGAUUGACCGAAAGGUCUUAUCUCUAUAUCCCUCACCUCUGUGAACUGUGGACCUCCGGGUCUAUUUAACAAACAUCAGUGUAAUGAACGUAUAUAUCAUUAAACAAAACAAAACUUUUAACAAUGGAUCU
rnacentral:misc_RNA from 1 species